UUUGGUUAAGUUAGAAAGGGCGCACGGUGGAUGCCUUGACACUAGGAGUCGAUGAAGGACGGGACUAACGCCGAUAUGCUUCGGGGAGCUGUAAGUAAGCUUUGAUCCGAAGAUUUCCGAAUGGGGAAACCCACCAUACGUAAUGGUAUGGUAUCCUUACCUGAAUACAUAGGGUAAGGAAGACAGACCCAGGGAACUGAAACAUCUAAGUACCUGGAGGAAGAGAAAGCAAAUGCGAUUUCCUGAGUAGCGGCGAGCGAAACGGAACAUAGCCCAAACCAAGAGGCUUGCCUCUUGGGGUUGUAGGACAUUCUAUACGGAGUUACAAAGGAACGAGGUAGACGAAGCGACCUGGAAAGGUCCGUCGUAGAGGGUAACAACCCCGUAGUCGAAACUUCGUUCUCUCUUGAAUGUAUCCUGAGUACGGCGGAACACGUGAAAUUCCGUCGGAAUCUGGGAGGACCAUCUCCCAAGGCUAAAUACUCCCUAGUGAUCGAUAGUGAACCAGUACCGUGAGGGAAAGGUGAAAAGCACCCCGGAAGGGGAGUGAAAGAGAUCCUGAAACCGUGUGCCUACAAAUAGUCAGAGCCCGUUAACGGGUGAUGGCGUGCCUUUUGUAGAAUGAACCGGCGAGUUACGAUCCCGUGCGAGGUUAAGCUGAAGAGGCGGAGCCGCAGCGAAAGCGAGUCUGAAUAGGGCGUUUAGUACGUGGUCGUAGACCCGAAACCAGGUGAUCUACCCAUGUCCAGGGUGAAGUUCAGGUAACACUGAAUGGAGGCCCGAACCCACGCACGUUGAAAAGUGCGGGGAUGAGGUGUGGGUAGCGGAGAAAUUCCAAUCGAACCUGGAGAUAGCUGGUUCUCCCCGAAAUAGCUUUAGGGCUAGCCUUAAGUGUAAGAGUCUUGGAGGUAGAGCACUGAUUGGACUAGGGGUCCUCAUCGGAUUACCGAAUUCAGUCAAACUCCGAAUGCCAAUGACUUAUCCUUAGGAGUCAGACUGCGAGUGAUAAGAUCCGUAGUCAAAAGGGAAACAGCCCAGACCGCCAGCUAAGGUCCCAAAGUGUGUAUUAAGUGGAAAAGGAUGUGGAGUUGCUUAGACAACUAGGAUGUUGGCUUAGAAGCAGCCACCAUUUAAAGAGUGCGUAAUAGCUCACUAGUCGAGUGACUCUGCGCCGAAAAUGUACCGGGGCUAAAUACACCACCGAAGCUGCGGAUUGAUACCAAUGGUAUCAGUGGUAGGGGAGCGUUCUAAGGACAGUGAAGUCAGACCGUAAGGACUGGUGGAGUGCUUAGAAGUGAGAAUGCCGGUAUGAGUAGCGAAAGACGGGUGAGAAUCCCGUCCACCGAAUGCCUAAGGUUUCCUGAGGAAGGCUCGUCCGCUCAGGGUUAGUCAGGACCUAAGCCGAGGCCGACAGGCGUAGGCGAUGGACAACAGGUUGAUAUUCCUGUACCACCUCUUUAUCGUUUGAGCAAUGGAGGGACGCAGAAGGAUAGAAGAAGCGUGCGAUUGGUUGUGCACGUCCAAGCAGUUAGGCUGAUAAGUAGGCAAAUCCGCUUAUCGUGAAGGCUGAGCUGUGAUGGGGAAGCUCCUUAUGGAGCGAAGUCUUUGAUUCCCCGCUGCCAAGAAAAGCUUCUAGCGAGAUAAAAGGUGCCUGUACCGCAAACCGACACAGGUAGGCGAGGAGAGAAUCCUAAGGUGUGCGAGAGAACUCUGGUUAAGGAACUCGGCAAAAUGACCCCGUAACUUCGGGAGAAGGGGUGCUUUCUUAACGGAAAGCCGCAGUGAAUAGGCCCAAGCGACUGUUUAGCAAAAACACAGCUCUCUGCGAAGCCGUAAGGCGAAGUAUAGGGGGUGACACCUGCCCGGUGCUGGAAGGUUAAGGAGAGGGGUUAGCGUAAGCGAAGCUCUGAACUGAAGCCCCAGUAAACGGCGGCCGUAACUAUAACGGUCCUAAGGUAGCGAAAUUCCUUGUCGGGUAAGUUCCGACCCGCACGAAAGGUGUAACGAUUUGGGCACUGUCUCAACCAGAGACUCGGUGAAAUUAUAGUACCUGUGAAGAUGCAGGUUACCCGCGACAGGACGGAAAGACCCCGUGGAGCUUUACUGUAGCCUGAUAUUGAAUUUUGGUACAGUUUGUACAGGAUAGGCGGGAGCCUUUGAAACCGGAGCGCUAGCUUCGGUGGAGGCGCUGGUGGGAUACCGCCCUGACUGUAUUGAAAUUCUAACCUACGGGUCUUAUCGACCCGGGAGACAGUGUCAGGUGGGCAGUUUGACUGGGGCGGUCGCCUCCUAAAGUGUAACGGAGGCGCCCAAAGGUUCCCUCAGAAUGGUUGGAAAUCAUUCGUAGAGUGCAAAGGCAUAAGGGAGCUUGACUGCGAGACCUACAAGUCGAGCAGGGACGAAAGUCGGGCUUAGUGAUCCGGUGGUUCCGCAUGGAAGGGCCAUCGCUCAACGGAUAAAAGCUACCCCGGGGAUAACAGGCUUAUCUCCCCCAAGAGUCCACAUCGACGGGGAGGUUUGGCACCUCGAUGUCGGCUCAUCGCAUCCUGGGGCUGUAGUCGGUCCCAAGGGUUGGGCUGUUCGCCCAUUAAAGCGGUACGCGAGCUGGGUUCAGAACGUCGUGAGACAGUUCGGUCCCUAUCCGUCGUGGGCGUAGGAAAUUUGAGAGGAGCUGUCCUUAGUACGAGAGGACCGGGAUGGACGCACCGCUGGUGUACCAGUUGUUCUGCCAAGGGCAUAGCUGGGUAGCUAUGUGCGGAAGGGAUAAGUGCUGAAAGCAUCUAAGCAUGAAGCCCCCCUCAAGAUGAGAUUUCCCAUAGCGUAAGCUAGUAAGAUCCCUGAAAGAUGAUCAGGUUGAUAGGUUCGAGGUGGAAGCAUGGUGACAUGUGGAGCUGACGAAUACUAAUAGAUCGAGGACUUAACCAUAUAA
rnacentral:rRNA from 2 species